rnacentral:rRNA from 1 species
ACAGGUGCUGCAUGGCUGUCGUCCAGCUCGUGUCGUGAGAUGUUGGGUUAAGUCCGUAACGAGCGCAACCCUUGUCCUUAGUUACCAGCACGUUAUGUGGGCACUCUAAGGAGACUGCCGGUGCAAACCGGAGGAAGGUGGGGAUGACGUCAAGUCAUCAUGGCCCUUACGGCCUGGGCUACACACGUGCUACAAUGGUCGGUACAAAGGGUUGCCAAGCCGCGAGGUGGAGCUAAUCCCAUAAAACCGAUCGUAGUCCGGAUCGCAGUCUGCAACUCGACUGCGUGAAGUCGGAAUCGCUAGUAAUCGUGAAUCAGAAUGUCACGGUGAAUACGUUCCCGGGCCUU